GACGAACGCUGGCGGCGUGCUUAACACAUGCAAUUCGAACGGAAAGGCCCUGCUUUUGUGGGGUGCUCGAGUGGCGAACGGGUGAGUAACACGUGAGUAACCUGCCCUUGACUUUGGGAUAACUUCAGGAAACUGGGGCUAAUACCGGAUAGGAGCUCCUGCUGCAUGGUGGGGGUUGGAAAGUUUCGGCGGUUGGGGAUGGACUCGCGGCUUAUCAGCUUGUUGGUGGGGUAGUGGCUUACCAAGGCUUUGACGGGUAGCCGGCCUGAGAGGGUGACCGGCCACAUUGGGACUGAGAUACGGCCCAGACUCCUACGGGAGGCAGCAGUGGGGAAUAUUGCACAAUGGGCGGAAGCCUGAUGCAGCAACGCCGCGUGCGGGAUGACGGCCUUCGGGUUGUAAACCGCUUUCGCCUGUGACGAAGCGUGAGUGACGGUAAUGGGUAAAGAAGCACCGGCUAACUACGUGCCAGCAGCCGCGGUGAUACGUAGGGUGCGAGCGUUGUCCGGAUUUAUUGGGCGUAAAGGGCUCGUAGGUGGUUGAUCGCGUCGGAAGUGUAAUCUUGGGGCUUAACCCUGAGCGUGCUUUCGAUACGGGUUGACUUGAGGAAGGUAGGGGAGAAUGGAAUUCCUGGUGGAGCGGUGGAAUGCGCAGAUAUCAGGAGGAACACCAGUGGCGAAGGCGGUUCUCUGGGCCUUUCCUGACGCUGAGGAGCGAAAGCGUGGGGAGCGAACAGGCUUAGAUACCCUGGUAGUCCACGCUGUAAACGGUGGGUACUAGGUGUGGGGUCCAUUCCACGGGUUCCGUGCCGUAGCUAACGCUUUAAGUACCCCGCCUGGGGAGUACGGCCGCAAGGCUAAAACUCAAAGGAAUUGACGGGGCCCCGCACAAGCGGCGGAGCAUGCGGAUUAAUUCGAUGCAACGCGUAGAACCUUACCUGGGUUUGACAUGGAUCGGGAGUGCUCAGAGAUGGGUGUGCCUCUUUUGGGGUCGGUUCACAGGUGGUGCAUGGCUGUCGUCAGCUCGUGUCGUGAGAUGUUGGGUUAAGUCCCGCAACGAGCGCAACCCUUGUUCACUGUUGCCAGCACGUUAUGGUGGGGACUCAGUGGAGACCGCCGGGGUCAACUCGGAGGAAGGUGGGGAUGACGUCAAGUCAUCAUGCCCCUUAUGUCCAGGGCUUCACGCAUGCUACAAUGGCUGGUACAGAGAGUGGCGAGCCUGUGAGGGUGAGCGAAUCUCGGAAAGCCGGUCUCAGUUCGGAUUGGGGUCUGCAACUCGACCUCAUGAAGUCGGAGCCGCUAGUAAUCGCAGAUCAGCAACGCUGCGGUGAAUACGUUCCCGGG
rnacentral:rRNA from 1 species